AUCCGGCUGACGAGUCCGAAAUAGAAGGAAACGUGUGUCCUGGAU
rnacentral:hammerhead_ribozyme from 1 species